UAAUAAGGCAAUGAAAUUUGAAAAUUUCAAAUUUUAACGGCAAAAGUUUUUGAAAACCGCGAAGCUGGGAAAUUGGUAACUAAUACGUCAUAGUAGGAAGACAUUGCCUUCUCGCCUAAGUGAAAAGAAUAUAAAUACUAAGUGAGAAUCACAAUCAAGCUGGUCAAAAUUCGAUACAAAUGUCUUCGUCGAGUUCAGAUACGGAGAAUAACAGUUACCAAAGCGAUGACUGUCUGAAAUUAUAUUCCUGGGCCGUAUCAAAUCGAGUGAAAUCGAUGAAAAUACCAGUGAAGCGUGGUCAACGUCGGUUGUGCGCACAAAUGAUCGGCGCUGCUUGAUCCAUAUGUUAAUGAACCAUGCAGUGACCGACGAAGAUGGCUCAAAAGUUACCGCGAAAAAAAGCAAUCACAACGAACAUCUUAAGCAAUUACAACAAAGGCUUGAUAGUUCAGAAGAAUUGAGUAAAUGGUAAAUAUUUCACUCUGAUAUUCAUGUUGCGUGACUUGACCUUGUGUUGUAAAUUACAAACUAUAAUAUUUCAUGUGUAAACGUGGCAAUUGUCGCAUUGAACUCACUUCGUAAAUUAUGCUAAAGAGUGUCAAUGUUGUAUGGAAAUUGAGGAGUGCGUCGAUUCUCUACACAGUGACAUUGUGAUUUGUGAUGCAAGAAGCUGAAGUCGCGCCAUCGUGUAUAAUUCAACAGCUAUGGCUAGAUAAGUGAGCUCUCCGUUCAGCAGCCACGAAAUUACGAACAAGAAAGAAACAGGAAUACCGUCAAACAAGCACAGAAGAUAGGUAAAUAAAGUUUUAUUUAUCAACUUAUUGAAAUUAAGAAACACUUUACCGUACCCGAGUUUACUAUCAGUGAACACACGCAUGCGGUACGGUAACUGAGAGUUUAUAUACGGUACAUACUGUACAAUUAUUGAAUUAUUAUAUAUUUACAUGUGUUCACAUGCAAGUAAGCGAAUUAUUAAAAAUACUUAUUUAUUAAUUUAUAGAUUCUGAAGGAGCACAGCAUAUAGAAACUUUGUGUGGAUGGUUUAUGGACAACUAGGAAAUAGACAUUUCACAUUUUUGCGCAUAUGAGAAAAUAAUGCCUGCUGUUGAUGAAGACUUUGUAGGAUUUGUAGAGAACAGCUCUUGAUAUUAUAUAACUAUUUUCCAAUAAAUAAACCUAUUACACUGUAUAAACGUGGUAAUAUUAUACUGUAUUGCGUAUAGAAACAGCACAUUUGCUAUAUUUAUGACUUCAAUAUUGUUUUGCCAAAGAGACUGAAAUUUGAGAUUAAGAUUUGUAUCCGAUGUUUUUCUGCACUUCGUGCGCGCAGGUUAAUUUGUACAAAGUGUUGCAGCACGUUUAGGAAUUUUUCUGACUUGUAUUUCGUUCCAGGCACUGCCUUAUACUAUAGCAAAUGUGGCAAUGACUAAGUUAUUUCUUUAAGUUGCUUCAAUGGAUUAUACUUUGUAAUACAUUUUAU